rnacentral:rRNA from 1 species
UACGAAGGGGGCUAGCGUUGCUCGGAAUCACUGGGCUUAAAGGGCGCGUAGGCGGGCGACCAAGUCAGGGGUGAAAUCGUUCGGCCCAACCGGACAAGGGCCCCUGAUACUGGUUGUCUCGAGGGAGGUAGGGGUCGAUGGAACUUCCGGUGGAGCGGUGAAAUGCGUAGAUAUCGGAAGGAACGCCGGUGGCGAAAGCGAUCGACUGGACCUCUUCUGACGCUGAGGCGCGAAAGCCAGGGGAGCAAAGCGGG